UCAUCCCGAAACAGAUAGCAUCAAUAUUUCCCCAUUUCUGUACCAUAAUCUAUGUCCGUACUCGAGAAUCGAGUCACGGUGCAGCAUUCGGCUUGAUUCGGCUUGGCGGCGAUCGGCGAUGAAUUAAUGAAAUCAAAUAAAAUGUUAUAAUUCAUGAUUUCUUAACUGUGAUUCAGGCGUAGGCGUGGGGCCUACGACUUCAAAAAUAUUUAUUGCAACAUCUGAAAAACGAAAUCCAAAGACUGUCUAAACCGGAACUACUACACAACGCAAAACAAAACUAGUUAUUAAAAAAAUAUUAAUUAUGUAAA